UAGACUUUAAUUUUAGUUACAAAGAAAAUGUGUCUUUCAAUUAUUAACCAAACCCUACGUGUCUUUCAUUCGCUUACUUGUGUGUCUCUACGUGUACAUAGCCUUGUUUAGUUCUCUUAUGCCUGCAAUUUUUGCAAAUUUUUUGCAGCUCUCAUCUAUUAUCUUCAUCUUUUUCGUUGUCUGUUAUAGUUCUUUAUCCAUCCUUUUGUUAUGGAGAAAUUACUUCAACAAAGCGGUGUUGGUGAAGUCUCUAAUCCACUAUGAAUAAAUACUGAAAUGAGUUGUUUAAGGUCUGAUGGUAAUAAUGAGAUUCAUCCCAAUGUUUCUAUUCGGAAGCGGAUUAAGUUUCCGAUAAAAGCCUGACGUUUUAGCUCAAUUAUUAUAUAUUUAAUCUAUAAUUGGAAAAUAUUUUCAACAGUGAUUGGUCUGCUUAUGUAUAACCGAUUCUGGAUUUGCAGUUUUGUGUUGAGCAUGUGAGAUUUUCUGCUUCUUGAUUUUUAUUUUUUGCUCUGGUUUUGUUUUUAUGUUCUGCUGUUUUCUCCUCUGUUGUAUGUCCGUUCUCUCUAUUUGCAAGGGAAUUUGGUGUUUAAAGAUUUCUAAAUUUCAAAGUUCAAAGUUAUAGACUUCUCAAACUCGACAUUGACGAUGACACCGUUGCAUAAUACGGUAAUGGAAGGAACAUAGGAAUUUGUCGCUGGGUAUUUGACCAAAUAGAAUCGUCCAGUUCAUACAGAACCUAUCACUUAAAUACCCCUAAUGGGGGAUAAGGCUAGGCAGUGUUUUCUUCGACUAUGUUGACUAGAUUCUGUGAGUUUGCUUAUGCGAUUUCUUAAUUGUGUGUUUUCAUAGUUGACUGUGGUAUGCAUUUGAUAUAUCUUUUCUGGGUGUAUCUUAGUUCGUAUCACAAUAUUCGUGCGCCGGUCUGGUCUGAUUCAUAGAUCACUUUAUGUAUCUUUUCGUUUCUGAAUUGUUUUAUAUAUGGAGGAAUUAUAUUUGGGUGUCUGAUUUUGAUUCUGAAUGGUAAUUUCCCACUCAAGGUUCAAUUGUUUCGAGAAUUAUGUUUCAGGUGGAGUGACCAGUUAUUUCCAUGAGAAAGUAUCAGGUGAGUUGGAAAACAUGUUUUCAAUUAGGUUAUUUCAAUAUGUAAGUCCAUCCAUGGUAGAGUUUGAUACUACAUAUUAAUGUGUUUUGACAUUUUUGCCCUUAAAGACUAGAAUGCUGAGAAAUAUGCUAUGGUACUGGAAUGGAUUAAAGCUCACAUCAUAGUUAUCAGCAUAAGCUAUCAGAACUAUAUGAAAUCAGAAUUAGGUUAUAGAAAAAAAUUGGGUUGAACUGUUUCUUCCUUUUGCAGGAAAAUGGGUGAAGAUGGACCAAGAUGCAUAAAGGUUCCAACUUCCAAUGUUGUUGAAGAUCACUACAAAUGAGACUGCACCUCGGCUGAUUUUCAAGUUAAUGCAUCACAUUUUGUUAUUGUGUAAACAGAGUGUAUAUAAGUAUUUUGUAAAUCUCUGGUCUAAAACUUGUCUCCUUACCAAAAAGCAUCAAGCAGUUAAUAUGUGAUACGCUUCCCUUCUCAAUCUUAGUAUGUUUACAUUUCACAACUUA